rnacentral:rRNA from 1 species
AUUGAACGCUGGCGGCGUGCUUAACACAUGCAAGUCGAGCGGUAAGGCCCUUUCGGGGGUACACGAGCGGCGAACGGGUGAGUAACACGUGGGUGACCUGCCCUCAGCUCUGGGAUAAGCCUGGGAAACCGGGUCUAAUACUGGAUAUGACUCCAUGACGCAUGUUGUGGGGUGGAAAGCCUUGUGCGGCUGAGGAUGGGCCCGCGGCCUAUCAGCUUGUGGUGGGGNGAUGGCCUACCAAGGCGACGACGGGUAGCCGGCCUGAGAGGGCGACCGGCCACACUGGGACUGAGACACGGCCCAGACUCCUACGGGAGGCAGCAGUGGGGAAUCUUGCGCAAUGGGCGAAAGCCUGACGCAGCGACGCCGCGUGAGGGAUGACGGCCUGGUGUAACGU